rnacentral:rRNA from 1 species
GACGAACGCUGGCGGCGUGCUUAACACAUGCAAGUCGAACGGAAAGGCCCUGCUUUUGUGGGGUGCUCGAGUGGCGAACGGGUGAGUAACACGUGAGUAACCUGCCCUUGACUUUGGGAUAACUUCAGGAAACUGGGGCUAAUACCGGAUAGGAGCUCCUGCUGCAUGGUGGGGGUUGGAAAGUUUCGGCGGUUGGGGAUGGACUCGCGGCUUAUCAGCUUGUUGGUGGGGUAGUGGCUUACCAAGGCUUUGACGGGUAGCCCGCCUGAGAGGGUGACCGGCCACCUUGGGACUGCGAUACGGCCCAGACUCCUACGGGAGGCAGCAGUGGGGAAUAUUGCACAAUGGGCGGAAGCCUGAUGCAGCAACGCCGCGUGCGGGAUGACGGCCUUCGGGUUGUAAACCGCUUUCGCCUGUGACGAAGCGUGAGUGACGGUAAUGGGUAAAGAAGCACCGGCUAACUACGUG